rnacentral:pre_miRNA from 1 species
AUGUAGAGUAAUCUGUGUUUAAGUAGGGGUAAGUUACUCUAAAAGAAAAGAAUCCUGGUUUUCUCUUUCUCUCUUUCUCUUUUUUUUUUU